rnacentral:rRNA from 1 species
CUAAUACAUGCAAGUCGAGCGGACAGAUGGGAGCUUGCUCCCUGAUGUUAGCGGCGGACGGGUGAGUAACACGUGGGUAACCUGCCUGUAAGACUGGGAUAACUCCGGGAAACCGGGGCUAAUACCGGAUGCUUGUUUGAACCGCAUGGUUCAAACAUAAAAGGUGGCUUCGGCUACCACUUACAGAUGGACCCGCGGCGCAUUAGCUAGUUGGUGAGGUAACGGCUCACCAAGGCAACGAUGCGUAGCCGACCUGAGAGGGUGAUCGGCCACACUGGGACUGAGACACGGCCCAGACUCCUACGGGAGGCAGCAGUAGGGAAUCUUCCGCAAUGGACGAAAGUCUGACGGAGCAACGCCGCGUGAGUGAUGAAGGUUUUCGGAUCGUAAAGCUCUGUUGUUAGGGAAGAACAAGUACCGUUCGAAUAGGGCGGUACCUUGACGGUACCUAACCAGAAAGCCACGGCUAACUACGUGCCAGCAGCCGCGGUAAUACGUAGGUGGCAAGCGUUGUCCGGAAUUAUUGGGCGUAAAGGGCUCGCAGGCGGUUUCUUAAGUCUGAUGUGAAAGCCCCCGGCUCAACCGGGGGAGGGUCAUUGGGAAACUGGGGAACUUUGAGUGCAGAAAGAGAGAGU